rnacentral:rRNA from 1 species
GACGAACGCUGGCGGCGUGCUUAACACAUGCAAGUCGAACGGUGAAGCGCUUUCCUUUUUGGUUGGUGUGGAUGAGUGGCGAACGGGUGAGUAACACGUGAGUAACCUGCCCCCUUCUUCUGGAUAACCGCAUGAAAGUGUGGCUAAUACGGGAUAUUCUGCGCCUGCUGCAUGGUGGGUGUGGAAAAGAUUGUGCCUUUGGGUGUUUUCGGUGGGGGAUGGGCUCGCGGCCUAUCAGCUUGUUGGUGGGGUGAUGGCCUACCAAGGCGGUGACGGGUAGCCGGCCUGAGAGGGUGGACGGUCACACUGGGACUGAGACACGGACCAGACUCCUACGGGAGGCAGCAGUGGGGAAUAUUGCACAAUGGGCGCAAGCCUGAUGCAGCGACGCCGCGUGAGGGAUGGAGGCCUUCGGGUUGUGAACCUCUUUCGCCAGUGAAGCAGGCCUGCUCCUUGUGGGUGGGUUGACGGUAGCUGGAUAAGAAGCGCCGGCUAACUACGUG